rnacentral:rRNA from 1 species
CCGAGACUCUGGAAUAACUACCGGAAACGGUGGCUAAUACUGGAUAUGUGCCAGGGAGGCAUCUCCUCUGGUUGGAAAGAUUUUUCGGUUUCGGAUCGGCUCACGGCCUAUCAGCUUGUUGGUGGGGUAAUGGCCUACCAAGGCGACGACGGGUAGCCGGCCUGAGAGGGUGACCGGCCACACUGGGACUGAGACACGGCCCAGACUCCUACGGGAGGCAGCAGUGGGGAAUAUUGCACAAUGGGCGCAAGCCUGAUGCAGCAACGCCGCGUGAGGGAUGACGGCCUUCGGGUUGUAAACCUCUUUUAGUAGGGAAGAAGCGCAAGUGACGGUACCUGCAGAAAAAGCACCGGCUAACUACGUGCCAGCAGCCGCGGUAAUACGUAGGGUGCAAGCGUUGUCCGGAAUUAUUGGGCGUAAAGAGCUCGUAGGCGGUUUGUCGCGUCUGCUGUGAAAUCCCGAGGCUCAACCUCGGGCCUGCAGUGGGUACGGGCAGACUUGAGUGCGGUAGGGGAGAUUGGAAUUCCUGGUGUAGCGGUGGAAUGCGCAGAUAUCAGGAGGAACACCGAUGGCGAAGGCAGAUCUCUGGGCCGUUACUGACGCUGAGGAGCGAAAGCAUGGGGAGCGAACAGGAUUAGAUACCCUGGUAGUCCAUGCCGUAAACGUUGGGCGCUAGAUGUGGGGACCAUUCCACGGUUUCUGUGUCGUAGCUAACGCAUUAAGCGCCCCGCCUGGGGAGUACGGCCGCAAGGCUAAAACUCAAAGGAAUUGACGGGGG